ACUCAAAGGAAUAGACGGGAGCCCGCACAAGCAGUGGAGUAUGUGGUUUAAUUCGACGCAACGCGAAGAACCUUACCAGGACUUGACAUCCUAAGAAUGCCGGGUAAAUCCGGCAGUGCCCUUCGGGGAGCUUAGAGACAGGUGGUGCAUGGUUGUCGUCAGCUCGUGUCAUGAGAUGUUGGGUUAAGUCCCGCAACGAGCGCAACCCUUACGGUUAGUUGCUACGCAAGAGCACUCUAGCCGGACUGCCGUUGACAAAACGGAGGAAGGCGGGGAUGAGGUCAAAUCAUCAUGCCCCUUAAGUUCUGGGCUACACACGUACUACAAUGGCGCAAACAACGGGAAGCCAAGGAGCGAUCCGGAGCAAACCCCAUAAAAGGCGCCUCAGUUCAGAUUGCAGGCUGCAACUCGCCUGCAUGAAGUCGGAAUUGCUAGUAAUCGCAGGUCAGCAUACUGCGGUGAAUACGUUCCCGGGCUUUGCACACACCGCCCGU
rnacentral:rRNA from 1 species